GCCAGAGUGGUGUAGUGGUUUGAGUAUUUGACUAGGACUCAAGAGACCAGUGUUCAAAUCCCAGCUUGAGCA